rnacentral:lncRNA from 1 species
GUGGGGGACUUAUCAAAUUAAUGGCCCAACACCCACUAAUGAGUUUCACUUUUCCUUUAAGAAAACCACACGCUCAGGCCUGGGAUUUAGCUCAGUGGUUCCGCCUCCUGCCUAGCAAGUGCAAGAAUGCACAUUUGAAACCACUUGGGUUGGGCAUGGUGAUGCACACCUGGAAUUCCAGCACUCAGGAAGCUGAGGGAGGAGAAUUGCUGCGAGUUCGAGGUCAGCCUGGGCUACAUAGUGAAUUUAAGGACAGCCUGAACUACACAGUGAAACCCUGUCUCAAAAACCAACCAAACAAGCAAAUAAAUAAAUAAAUUUUUAAAAUAAACAAAAAUAAACAAAAAAUAACCCACUUGGAUACAGAUUUUUAGUUGUAUGAAGGUUGAUGAUGUGACUUAAAAACGUCCAUAUAAGAUAUUCAGAGAUUCUCCUUGCUAUUGUGUCAACUUUUGUGAGUCGUAAUUUCCAAGAACAUUGUUCAUUUUAUAUAAAUUUUCAAAUUGAUGGCGUAAUGAUGUUCGUACUAUUUUCUUAUCUAUUUAAGGUCUGUAGGAUCAAUAGCAAAAAUCCUUCCUUCUUUUACAUUUUUCCCUUUCUUUAUUAAUCUUCUUAGGAUUUUGUUAAUUUGUUAACUUUUAAAAAUAUUAGGUUAUUUAAUAUUUUAUUAUUUUAAAAUUCAUUUAUUAUUCUAUUAUUUCACCACUACUUCAGAUUUUUUUGGGGACUCACUGCUGAUAUGUACAAAUAUAAAACAUUUGGAUUUAUUUAUAUUUUUAGUUUGGUGUUCUUUAUCCAGUCUCCUAAAAGUGAAUCUUGGGCUACUGUUUUUAGUCCUUUCUUUCUUUCUAAUGUAAACAUUUUCAUCUUUAGCUUUAUCCCAUAAUUGUUAGAAAUAUUAUUUUAUAAUUCUUUUUGGAUAUAAGUGUAGAUUUACAUUUGUUGUAAGAAAUAAUAAAAAAUGGUUUCCAUGUAUCUUUUAUCAAGUCUCCUUCAAAGUCAUCAUCUUACAAACUUAUAGUAAAAUGUCAUGAGGACAUAGAAACAUUGAUACAUUGAAAAUAUAGAACAUUUCUACCACUCCAAGGAUCCUUAUAUUUCUUUUUCAUAAUUACCCCUAGUCUCUCUUGCCUCACCUCUCCUACUUCUUAAGUGUUGGCACCACUAAUCUCUUGUUCAUUUGUAUCAUAUUCUUAUUUCAACAAUGUUAUACAAAUUGAGUCAUAUAAUAGUAACUUUUGGUUAUCAGAAUUUUUGCUCAGUGUAAUUUUCUAGAAAUACAUCUAAAGUGCUAUGUAUAUUGAUAGUUCUUAUUUCUCUUUUUUUUUCACUCUCUUUCUCAUUGAAAUGUCUUGGUUUAUAUGUAGUACAGUUUGCCUAACUCUCCAUCCACUAAAAGUGCUUCUGAGUUGUUUGCAUUUUGGGCUAUUCUUUGUAAAGCUGCUAUGAAUAUUUGUUUACCAGUGAUUAUUUUAUAUGUAUGUACAUACAUGUGAAAAUAUCUUCAUUUCUUUGAAGCAACGUGCCCAAUAAAGCAUUUCAUGUUUAAAUUUUUAAAAAAUUGCCAAAUUAUUUUGAACAGAAACUGUAGCAUUUAACAAUUUAAUCAGCA